GAUGAACGCUGGCGGCGUGCCUAACACAUGCAAGUCGAGCGAUUUACUUCGGUAAAGAGCGGCGGACGGGUGAGUAACGCGUGGGUAACCUGCCCUGUACACACGGAUAACAUACCGAAAGGUAUGCUAAUACGGGAUAAUAUGCUUUUAUCGCAUGGUAGAAGUAUCAAAGCUUUUGCGGUACAGGAUGGACCCGCGUCUGAUUAGCUAGUUGGUAAGGUAACGGCUUACCAAGGCGACGAUCAGUAGCCGACCUGAGAGGGUGAUCGGCCACAUUGGAACUGAGACACGGUCCAAACUCCUACGGGAGGCAGCAGUGGGGAAUAUUGCACAAUGGGCGAAAGCCUGAUGCAGCAACGCCGCGUGAGCGAUGAAGGCCUUCGGGUCGUGAAGCUCUGUCCUCAAGGAAGAUAAUGACGGUACUUGAGGAGGAAGCCCCGGCUAACUACGUGCCAGCCGCCGCCGUAACAC
rnacentral:rRNA from 1 species